AGCACAGAGUUUGGGAACUCAUUUCUAGCAUAUCUUUGCCACAGGAAGAGCCACACUGUCUUGUUUUUAAUCCAGAGGAGAGCAGGCUUUUGGAGAGUCAAUGAAUACAGCAAACUGCAACGAGAGUAUUCAUUUCAGUAAUGUGUAAUGGCAUUCAGAGGAGGCCAUGGGCAGUGAUCCCAGCAGGAGCCCAGGGCAGCAGAUUUAAAGGGGAAAACUGCAUCCUAGGUUCUCUUUGCCUGCAACAUCAUGUGAACCAUGUGAAUCAAACGUGGAUGCAAGUAGCACCAAUCUCACAUCUCUCCUCAUAGGGCUUGGUUUCCAGUCCCCUGAUCAUCUUUGUUGCCCUCCUCUGAACCCAUUCCAGUUUGUCUGCAUCCUUCUUGAAGUGCGGAGACCAGAACUGGACGCAGUAUUCAAGAUGAGGCCUAACCAGUGCUGAAUAGAGGGGAACUAGUAUGUCACGUGAUUUGGAAACUAUACUUUUGUUAAUGUAGCCUAAUAUAGCAUUUGCCUUUUUUGCAGCCACAUUGCACUGCUGGCUCAUAUUCAGCUUGUGAUCAACAACAAUUCCAAGAUCCUUCUCACAUGUCGUACUACUGAGCCAAGUAUCCCCCAUCUUAUAAUUGUACAUUUUGUUUCUUUUUCCUAAGUGUAGAACUUUGCAUUUAUCCCUGUUGAAUUUCAUUCUGUUGUUUUCAGCCCAAUGCUCCAGCCUAUCAAGGUCCCUUUGAAUUUUGUUUCUGUCUUCCGUGGUAUUAGCUAUGCCCCCCAAUUUUGUAUCAUCUGCAUAUUUGGUAAGCAUGCUUUGUAUGUCCCCAUCCAAGUCCUUUAUGACCCGGGUGUUAUCCUUGCAGCCUUUGCAAAGACAUUUCUGACAAGCAACAUGCUUUGUCCAAAUAAACAGUGGCUAAUAAUAGCACACUCACAGUCCCCAAGGCAGACUCUGGGCCUCACUGGGAAUCCCACGGACAACUGCCAGCACCAGAGAGGUGGAGGAGGUGGUAUCUCUCUCCAUCCCCACAGACUCCAAAAGCAGACUUUGCUCCAAAAGCAGAAUCACAAAAGCACUUUAAACAAUCAUGGCUCCCCCCCCCCAAAGAAUCCUAGGACUGUAGUUUGUGAAGGGUGCUGAGAGCUGUUAGGAGACCCCCUAUUCCCCUCACAGAGCUACAAUUCCCAGAGUUCCCUGGGAAGAGGGACUGAUUGUUAAACCACUCUGAGAAGUGUAGCUCUGUGAGGGGAAGAACUGGCAACCUGACCACAUAUGCCAUUUCCUUUAAAAGAAUCAACUUCAUUCCUAACUGCUAAUUCUCUGCCCACACAGUAAGUUUUAUGUUGCUUUCAGAUACAGCUGUUAGCUUGGAAGACUGUGUUAUUAACAAUGAUUGCAGUUGCACAGGCUCUGUGCUUAUCUCACACAUUUGAGCUUUUCAUGGGAAUGUGACAGAUGGUAUACCUCAUUUCAUGGCUACUGGUUACACUUUUUCCCUAACUAGGGGGGGGCAGGCAAAUAGCACUUUGUGCAUCUGAUGAAGCGAGUUCCAGUCCACAAGAGUUUCUGCUUGUUAGUCUUUGGGUGCCAUAAGAGUCUUUGUCCUUUUAGCUGCAAUAGACUGAUGCUAUUUAGCUCAAUGUGACUCAGUAGGUUUAUCCUCAAAAUAUACAAUGUCAUACAGAGCCCCAGCAGGGUGGAGCCAGCAUUUUCCAGUGUCGAGUUUUGCUUUGUGAUUUAGGGAGUUCCCCACCACCACCUAUGUCCAAGUUCUUCUGCCAUCACCCCCUAUUUCCACCCCAGUGAGACACACCAAGAUCAGAGAAUUCUCUGGGGCGACUAUGACAGAAGCGAAAUGAUGCAUCAACGGUCAUAAGUCAAGAUGUCAACAGAAAGGAAGCCCAGUCCUAGGGCAUGUUUGGUCUCUGGGGAGGCUGCUACAUGGAUCUCUCCCAGGACACAGAUGAAAUGAACAAAACAAGUUUUCAUGAUGAUCAUCACAAAAGAAUCCCUCCCCCUCCCCCUCCAUUUUCUUCCCAUGUUCUUCCAAUAUAUAGCCUUGUUCCAGUGCUGUUCAGCAGGCACAAAAGGACAAAAACAAAACCUCCAGCUUGGCCCUGCCAUUCCAGACUGCAGCAUUUUAGCCCUGCUCACUUGAGUAGAGCUUACAGACUAUUGUUAUCAUCUACCAGAGGUUCAUUUUAAGCUGAGCUAAGAUACUGGCAGAAUUUUUAAUAAAGCAAACCGCACACGUGUGCAGCUGACAUUUCACAAAGA